AGUCUCAGACAGGCCCGAUCCGCAGAACUGCAGAAGGCAGACCCACGUGACUCUUUCUCCCGUUUCUCUCGUCAGUUUCUCCGCUCGCCCCGCGGUUCCCGCUUCCUACAGCCCUCCGGUCGACUCGGGUUCCCACUUCGCCGCCGCUCCCCCGUUUCCUUCACCUCUUCUCCUGCAGUCCUGCGCACCUUCCUCCCUCCCAGAGUCCCAGUCAAACCCUGCUCGGAAGCAAACGGACUUCGGAUCCUCGGCUUUACCACUCGCCUCGCGGACUUCGGGGUUUAGUUUGGGACCCGUUGCUCCGGAGUUCUUCUUAAGGUACCCUGCUGGAGGUUGUUUUGUAUCAUGGAGAGUACAGACAAGAAUGACAAAAGAAAUGCUGUCACAGAAGAGUCUUCUAAUCCUGGACAAAAUUGUGAAGAUGACGGGGAUUUUUCAAUGAAAACUGAAAUGUUAAAUGUAGAAGAAGCACCAAGUUUCUCGAAUGACAAAUUAAACAACGAAUCAGAAGUGCAGAUUCAAGAGGGAGGUAAUGAUUCAGAAGAGGGCUUAAACGGACAAAUGAAUGAAAGGACAAGCUCAGAUGUCAUGGAAUGUGCAAGCUCAAACGAGAUCACAAAAGAGAAUCUUUCUGAAGAUAAAACUGAAGAGCCAGUAUUUGAUGGAACUGAGGUUCUUGAAAUAGAAGAAAUGAGGCGUUCUUCCAAUCAAUCUGGGGAACUUGACUCAGAGGCUCAGGGGUCUGUACUCAAUGACCGGGCUGUUGCAAUAAAAAAUUUUGUUAAAGAAAGGAGUGCAAUUGCAGUUUCAACAUUUAUGCGGCGCCUUUCUGGCAAAAAGGAUGAGAAUGAAUUUAAGGCUGAAGCUGACAAGACUAUUGGUUCAGAAUACAUGGACUGCGAGAAAACCAGGACAGAUGCUGAAUCCAAUCCUAAAGAGGUGCAACAGAAAUCUGUGGAAAGAACUGUCUGGAACCCACUGAACUUCAUUAAAAUUGGCCGGGAUUCUGAUACUUUUGUAACUGGGGAAGCGUUGAAUGAAAAUGUGCCUGGUUUGUUGGAGAUACCACCAUUGAAGGGUAGGAUAAUAAUAUACACAAAACUGGGAUGUGAAGAUUGCAAAAAGGUUCGUCUAUUCUUGCUUCGGAAAAGGCUCAAGUAUGUUGAGAUUAACAUUGACAUCUUCCCUGGUAGAAAGUUGGAAUUGGAGAAGAAUACUGGGUCAUCCACUGUACCAAAAGUGUAUUUUAAUGACCUACUAAUUGGAGGGUUAAUUGAGUUGAGGAAAAUGGAAGAUUCUGGCAUACUUGAUGAGAAUAUCGAUGUUCUGUUCAAUGAGGAAUCCCCAUAUUCUGCUCCAUUACCCCCCUUACUUGGAGAAGAUGAUGAAUCAGGAAGUGGGAAGAUUGAUGAGCUGGCAACCAUUGUCAAAAAAAUGAGAGAGUCAAUCACUCCUAAGGAUAGAUUCUAUAAGAUGAGAAGAUUUAGCAACUGCUUUCUUGGUAGUGAAGCUGUGGAUUUCAUAUCAGAAGAUCAAUAUUUGGAGAGAGAUGAGGCAGUGGAAUUUGGAAGGAAGCUUGCAAGAAAAUACUUCUUUCGUCAUGUUCUAGAUGAAAAUGUCUUCGAAGAUGGAAACCACAUAUAUCGUUUCCUGGAUCAUGAUCCCAUAGUUAUGACUCAAUGUUACAACAUCCCUAGGGGCAUCAUCGAUGUUGCACCAAAGCCCAUUGCUGAAGUAGCAUCAAGGCUGAGGUUGCUAUCCUGUGCCAUUUUUGAAGCUUAUGUAUCAGCCGAUGGUAGACAUGUUGACUACCAAAGCAUCCAAGGUUCUGAGGAAUUUAAAAGAUAUAUUAGAACAGUUGAGGAGCUCCAGAGGGUGGAAAUUGAUUAUUUAUCACGUGAAGAGAAACUUGCUUUCUUCAUAAAUCUCUACAAUAUGAUGGCUAUCCAUGCAUUAGUGACAUGUGGCCAUCCUGCUGGACCAUUGGACAGAAAAAAGUUUUUUGGAGAUUUUAAGUAUAUCAUUGGUGGAUGUGCUUAUUCACUGUCAGCAAUCCAAAAUGGCAUUCUACGUGGCAACCAAAGGCCACCAUACAACAUUGCCAAACCUUUCGGGCAGAAAGACCGAAGAUCCAAGGUGGCCCUUCCAUACCAUGAACCUCUUGUUCACUUUGCUUUGAUAUGUGGCACCAAAUCUGGACCUGCACUUAGGUGUUACUCACCAGGGGAUAUCGAUAAAGAAUUGAUGGAAGCUGCACGUGAUUUCGUGAGGAAUGGAGGACUGAUUGUUGAUCCUGAAGCCAAAAUUGCAUCUGCAAGCAAGAUUUUGAAAUGGUAUAGCACAGAUUUUGGUAAGAACGAGAUGGAAGUGCUAAAGCAUGCUGCGAACUAUCUUGAGCCCGCAGAGUCAGAGCAGCUCUUGGAACUGCUCGCCAGCACUCAACUGAAAGUCAUGUACCAAAAUUACGACUGGAGCAUCAACAUUUAGAAGUAGCUUGAUGUCUAUCCAUAUGUUCUUUUUACAUUUGCGUACCUAUUACACAAAGUUCCGUGGAUUGGAAUUCUCUUUCUGAAGCAGGACGAACGUCUGACAGGGUGGUGCUUAUCAUUUUUCUGAAUUCCGUUCAGUUAACUAAAUGAGAAUCGCCGACGCCGUCUUCCCUACCGGAGCUAUUAAGAUUUACAAACGGUGGUGAUGUUAUCAGCACGGCCGGUGAUGUGGAGCGAGCGAGCAUGCGUGAACGCUGCUGCAGCGCGCAUGAUUGCUUGGAACAAUUAACUUCUCGCCAUUACGAGCGAGCGUUUGAGCUGCACGUAUUUUGUUUUGUUGACUGGCUCGAUCUGAAAAAAAAGCUGAUUCUACGAUUUUCCUCUUACCUUUUAAACUCUCCAAACAGUUUAAAUUACCUGUCUCCCAUGGUUUAUAAUGGCAUUUUGAACUCAAAACCGUUGAAAUUA